AUCUUUUUGGCAGAACAUUUGCAUUAGAUUUAGAAUCUAAUUAAACUAAAU
rnacentral:tRNA from 1 species